UGAGGAGAUCCCCAGACGAGGGGUCACCCAGUAGCCACGGAGCAGAAGCCAGAGGGGGCUGCACUGGCGUGCCCGCCGGCUCUGCCGGCAGCCAGCUGUGCCAGAGUGAACUGAGUUGCAGGCCCCUUUGCCCUGGAAGAGGCCUGACCGAGCGACAGGCACCAGGCCCCGCCAAGUAGCCACCGGGAGUGAGCUGGUGCAUACCUGAGCGCAAAUUUUAUUUUUUAAUUUUAUUUUAUUUUUUACAAAUUGCAAUAUUUAUCUACAGCGUGCCUUUAGCGACACGUCAACAGAUCUUAAGCAAGGCGAUUGGAUGGUUUUUACUGCAAUGCAUCUUGGGAGUCGUAGUAAAUGGAUCUUUCAACUUACGGUCCUGCAGGAAUUUUUCUACUCGACACGAGGCAGAUCCUAGCUAAGUAAGUUGUGAUAAACUGUGGGUAAUUUGCAUGUUCAGUGAAAUAUUAUUUUCAGUGAUAUUAAACUGAUAUUAAACUUGAAAUGUUUUCACAGAGCAGUCUGUGUACCAAGAGAACUACUUCUGCAAAAGUUUAUUUAAUUUUUUUUGUGACGUAUUGUCAUGUGUAAGACACUUGCUUGGCCACCCAGCUAAUGUUAGUACUGCUCUAUUUUAGCAAUGUACCUUUUCUGUAAUCAAUUCAGUUUUUUUAACCCUAUUCACGUAAUUAACUCAAUAUUAACGACUUUAAUCUCGUAAUUGAUUUUUUUUCUAAAUAUGGUGUAAUAAUGCCUCGUAAUAUAAGUUAUUUCUUUGGUCACAAAUUAUUUUUGUAACCAUUUCACCAAGACAGACCUGAAAUAAUCCCUACAUGUUCCAUUUUCAUUUGCAGAAAUUACAAAGUCAAAAACCAAACCAUGCCCUUCCUGUCAGUCUCCAAACACCUGCAACAGGAAGACAUGCAGUGGAUGCCUGGGCAGCCUGAACGUAAAGGAGGGAUUGAAAAAAAACACAAGAACAGUUUAAAAACAGUAACUGGGCUGCCUCUGUUAAAAAAAACAGAAAUGCGAGCAGGGUGGUUAAUUCAGCCCAGUUGUCAGUUUCAAAACUACAUGCCCUGGGCUUCCAGCCAAUUCUGUUUCUUGGACAGUUUGACCGAAAGGGCCGUAUAGUAGGGGACGUGAUCACUCAGAUCGAACCAGCGGAAGGUGCUGCACGUGACAUCCUUAUGAAGAUGAGGAAGCUUUAUGAACACCUUCUGAGAAGUAAGAUAUGCUUUGUCCAUUAUCUGUAACCAGGUGUCCUUAUCAGGUAGCCUAUCCUAGCUGUCUUUGGGUGAUACUCAUGGUACACCCUAGAUAAGAAGGCAGGUCACCACGGGCUACACAGAGACAAACAAGAUGGUGAGGAUGAGGAUAGUUAACAGUCACCAGCUAUUCUAUUAUAUUCUACUCUACUCUAUUUUGUUCUAUUCUAUUCUAUUAUUCAGCCAAGGUUCAGACCAGUAACCUUCUUGCUGUGAGGUGACAGCUGCUCUACAUGUCCUGUUGCUAACAUGAAAAUAGUGUUAUAUAUGCCUUAUUACCUCCCAUGUGGCGUUCACAUUACCAAAGCUAGCCAUACUGAACCUCUGGUGUUACCCACCUGAACAAUUUUGUAUGUGUGUGUGUGUGUGUAUAGUAUGGUCUUUCACACUCAUGUAUAUACAAAUGUAAUUUUAAAAAUCUUCACGAAAACCAGACCUGAUAAUUCUCUUCAAGACUUUCCAGUAUAACAAAUGUUAUAUAAUGUUACCAAUAUGAACACCAAGAUUCUUAAAUAACUUAUAUACUUCUUAAGAGGUUACCUGAUUACCUCCCUGAGGUUGUUAAGGUGACCAUUGUACAAAUACUUUACUUCUUUAUAGAGCUUAUAGUUAGGGCUGGUUCAGGUCAGCCCUUAGUUAUGCUGUCAUAGGACCAGACUGCUGGGGUUAGUCCCCCCCCCCUCUCUCUGUCUGUCUCUUUGGUUGAAGAUGCAGUCACGUCUCCUUUUACUGAAAACUCUCCCCCUCUCCCUCACCACCAUCUGUAAACAUACAUGUCUCAGUAAUGCAGUUCAUGCAUGUUACUAACUAAACUUCUUCCCUGUAGUUUCUGUGCUCUCUCAUCCAGCAGGUUCCGAUGGCUCGUGGCUGCUGCUAUGGUCCUGCUUGACAUCUACUACAUAUAUUAUUACUCUCUGACUUGAUUUGAUUAAUUUAGAUUACAAUGAAGGUGUAUAAAGCAUGACGUGAAUAUAGAAGAUAUUUCAUCCUAAAAAAUUGUCAUAUGUCACAACCUAAAUUAUCCUAUUUUGUGUGUGUUUGUGUGUGGUUGUCAUUGUUGUUUGUUAUGUUUUUCCCCUGACAGUGGCAAAGUGUUGGAUGACACAUGGGAACCUGCGCAGUUUUACACACAGUAAACCAGAUCCCUGUGUGCGAUCGCACAGUUCAGUUUGUAGUUCAGCAUAAAAGUUCAAAAUAAAAUAUUUACUAUACAUUUCA